GCCUAGUUAGCUUAGUUGGUAGUGCGUCUGCCUUGUAAGCGCUAGGCCGCGGGUGCGAUUCCCGCCCGGGGCA
rnacentral:tRNA from 1 species